rnacentral:rRNA from 1 species
UACGUAGGUGGCAAGCGUUAUCCGGAAUUAUUGGGCGUAAAGAGCGCGCAGGUGGUUAAUUAAGUCUGAUGUGAAAGCCCACGGCUUAACCGUGGAGGGUCAUUGGAAACUGGUUAACUUGAGUGCAGAAGAGGGAAGUGGAAUUCCAUGUGUAGCGGUGAAAUGCGUAGAGAUAUGGAGGAACACCAAAGGCGAAGGCAGUGUCCUGGGGAGUACCUGACGCUCAGGUGCGGAAAGCCAGGGGAGCGAACGGG